CUUGGUCAUUUAGAGGAAGUAAAAGUCGUAACAAGGUCUCCGUAGGUGAACCUGCGGAGGGAUCAUUACAAGUGACCCCGGUCUAACCACCGGGAUGUUCAUAACCCUUUGUUGUCCGACUCUGUUGCCUCCGGGGCGACCCUGCCUUCGGGCGGGGGCUCCGGGUGGACACUUCAAACUCUUGCGUAACUUUGCAGUCUGAGUAAACUUAAUUAAUAAAUUAAAACUUUUAACAACGGAUCUCUUGGUUCUGGCAUCGAUGAAGAACGCAGCGAAAUGCGAUAAGUAAUGUGAAUUGCAGAAUUCAGUGAAUCAUCGAAUCUUUGAACGCACAUUGCGCCCCCUGGUAUUCCGGGGGGCAUGCCUGUUCGAGCGUCAUUUCACCACUCAAGCCUCGCUUGGUAUUGGGCAACGCGGUCCGCCGCGUGCCUCAAAUCGACCGGCUGGGUCUUCUGUCCCCUAAGCGUUGUGGAAACUAUUCGCUAAAGGGUGUUCGGGAGGCUACGCCGUAAAACAACCCAAUUUCUAAGGUUGACCUCGGAUCAGGUAGGGAUACCCGCUGAACUUAAGCAUAUCAAUAAGCGGAGGAAAAGAAACCAACAGGGAUUGCUCUAGUAACGGCGAGUGAAGCAGCAAUAGCUCAAAUUUGAAAUCUGGCGUCUUCGACGUCCGAGUUGUAAUUUGUAGAGGAUGCUUCUGAGUAACCACCGACCUAAGUUCCUUGGAACAGGACGUCAUAGAGGGUGAGAAUCCCGUAUGCGGUCGGAAAGGUGCUCUAUACGUAGCUCCUUCGACGAGUCGAGUUGUUUGGGAAU
rnacentral:sRNA from 1 species